ensembl:rRNA 5S_rRNA 5S ribosomal RNA
CUACGGCCAUACCACCCUGAACGCGCCCGAUCUCGUCUGAUCUCGGAAGCUAAGCAGGGUUGGGCCUGGUUAGUACUUGGAUGGGAGCUUUGCAUGACUUGCACCCAAUCCCUGCACUUGGCAGCAGGUGCUGCAG